GAUCAAAUCAAGCGCGAGAAGGGCGUUUGGUGGAUGCCUUGGCAGUAAGAGGCGAUGAAGGACGUGAUACUCUGCGAUAAGCUUUGGGAAGUCGAGAAUAGACGCUAUACCCAAAGAUCUCCGAAUGGGGCAACCCACUUGAUAUUCUAUUAUUGUUAYYUUCGRRUACUCAAUAAUGGGGUAAACCAAGUAUUAAUUACCUGAAUAUAUAGGGUUUUUAAAGCAAACCCGGGGAACUGAAACAUCUAAGUACCCGGAGGAAAGGAAAUCAAYAGAUACUCCCKUAGUAGYGGCGAGCGAACSGGGACCAGCCGAKCWAUGAANUGUGACUAGAACCAUCUGGAAAGUUGGGCRAUAUGGGUGACAGCCCCGUAUAGGAAGCAUGAWUWGACRUAUUAAGUAGGGCGGRACACGUGAAAUYCUGUCUGAACAUSGGRGGACCACCYUCKAAGGCUAAGUACUCCUUACUGACCGAUAGCGAACCAGUACCGUGAGGGAAAGGUGAAAAGCACCCCGACGAGGGGAGUGAAACAGUUUCUGAAACCGGACGCCUACAAACAGUCGGAGGGGCAUAUGCCCUGAC
rnacentral:rRNA from 1 species